AGAAGAGUUAAGUCACUUGCCCAAAGUCACCUGGGUAUCAGAAGAGAACCUGGAUUUGACUAAUAAACUUAAGGAGACUGAAGCAGCCCUGCAGAUGGAGAGAGAAAAAAAUAAAACAGAAGAGCACAGUUCUGCAUGCACUGGCCCAAUGACCUACUCUUUACUCCUGGGGCUCUCUCUGGUCAUUGCUUUGCUUCCCUGAGCAGCCUGA